GACGAACGCUGGCGGCGUGCUUAACACAUGCAAGUCGAACGAAGAGCGAUGGAAGCUUGCUUCUAUCAAUCUUAGUGGCGAACGGGUGAGUAACGCGUAAUCAACCUGCCCUUCAGAGGGGGACAACAGUUGGAAACGACUGCUAAUGCCGCAUACGAUCUGACCUCGGCAUCGAGGAUAGAUGAAAGGUGGCCUCUAUUUAUAAGCUAUCACUGAAGGAGGGGAUUGCGUCUGAUUAGCUAGUUGGAGGGGUAACGGCCCACCAAGGCGAUGAUCAGUAGCCGGUCUGAGAGGAUGAACGGCCACAUUGGGACUGAGACACGGCCCAGACUCCUACGGGAGGCAGCAGUGGGGAAUCUUCCGCAAUGGACGAAAGUCUGACGGAGCAACGCCGCGUGAGUGAUGACGGCCUUCGGGUUGUAAAGCUUUGUUAAUCGGGACGAAAGGCCUUCUUGCGAAUAGUUAGAAGGAUUGACGGUACCGGAAUAGAAAGCCACGGCUAACUACGUG
rnacentral:rRNA from 1 species